rnacentral:rRNA from 1 species
CCCACCGUGCCCAUAAUCAGUACAGGUUGUGAGAGCAAGAACCUGGAGACGGAAUCUGAGACAAGAUUCCGGGCCCUACGGGGCGCAGCAGGCGCGAAACCUUUACACUGCACGCACGUGCGAUAAGGGGACUCCGAGUGCGAGGGCAUAUCGUCCUCGCUUUCGUGUACCGUAGGGUGGUACACCAACAAGGGCUGGGCAAGACCGGUGCCAGCCGCCGCGGUAAUACCGGCAGCCCGAGUGAUGACCGAUCUUAUUGGGCCUAAAGCGUCCGUAGCUGGCUGCGCAAGUCCGUCGGGAAAUCCACUCGCCCAACGAGUGGGCGUCCGACGGAAACUGCACAGCUUGGGACCGGAAGGCUCGAAGGGUACGUUCGGGGUAGGAGUGAAAUCCCAUAAUCCCGCACGGACCACCGAUGGCGAAAGCACUUCGAGAAAACGGAUCCGACAGUGAGGGACGAAAGCCAGGGUCUCCAACCGGAUUAGAUACCCGGGUAGUCCUGGCCGUAAACAAUGUUCGCUAGGUAUGACACAGACUACGCGUCUCUGUUGUGCCGUAGGGAAGCCGAGAAGCGAACCGCCUGGGAAGUACGUCUGCAAGGAUGAAACUUAAAGGAAUUGGCGGGGGAGCACUACAACCGGAGGAGCCUGCGGUUUAAUUGGAUUCAACGCCGGG